UUCUUCAGGGCAGGGUGCGAUCCCCGACCGGCGGUAAAGUCCGCGAGCGCAAGCUGAACCGGUGAAACUCCGGUACCGACAGUAUAGUCUGGAUGAAAGAAGAA
rnacentral:ncRNA from 1 species